AAUGUUCCGAAUCGGGGAAGGAUGAGAAGCUUCGACCAAGGUUCGAGUCUCACGCAGUGAGACAACGCGCUUCAGCGCGGCCCGCAGGGU
rnacentral:sRNA from 1 species